GACGAACGCUGGCGGCGUGCUUAACACAUGCAAGUCGAACGGGUCUGCCCUGUUUUUUGCGGGGUGGGUCAGUGGCGAACGGGUGAGUAACACGUGAGUAACCUGCCCCUCACUUCUGGAUAACCGCUUGAAAGGGUGGCUAAUACGGGGUGUUCUGGCUGUGCCGCAUGGUGUGGCUGGGAAAGAUUCACUUUUGUGGUGUUUUGGUGGGGGAUGGGCUCGCGGCCUAUCAGCUUGUUGGUGGGGUGAUGGCCUGCCAAGGCUUUGACGGGUAGCCGGCGUGAGAGGGUGGGCGGUCACACUGGGACUGAGAUACGGCCCAGACUCCUGCGGGAGGCAGCAGUGGGGGGUAUUGCACAAUGGGCGGAAGCCUGAUGCAGCGACGUCGCGUGAGGGAUGGAGGCCUUCGGGUUGUGAACCUCUUUCGCCGGUGAAGAAGGUCCUGCUCUUUGUGGUGGGGUUGACGGUAGCCGGGUUAUGAAGCGCCGGCUAACUACGUG
rnacentral:rRNA from 1 species